rnacentral:lncRNA from 12 species
CAAAGGGCCUUGCAGCUGGGCUUAGGUGACAGACCCAUCCAAUCCAGCCCUGGCCUCUGAGACUACAUCCGGAGGCAGACCAUUAACUGAACCAAGUGCUCAGAAGCCUGGACAUUCAGCAGAUGUGACACCAAGGGACGAAGCCUUGGAAUGGAUGGUAAGCUCCAUGAGGACAAGACAAAAUGGCCAGCGGCUCCAAGGCAGUCUUCCUAGCAUGACAGCAAUCCCAGCAUGAGAGCGGGGUGCAUCUCUGUUGAGUGGAUGUGUGUGGCCUUGAAGGUAUGUCUUCAUCCCGAGAGUGGAUUGUGAAGGUGGGAAGGACAGUUGC